rnacentral:lncRNA from 1 species
AUGUCUUCCUCCUCCUUCUCCCCGCCCGCCCCCACCCCCGCCUUUGUCCUAGGCCCAGAGGUUCCAUCCCUAAGCUAUGGGGUGUCUUCUCUCCUUUGGAAGGACUUUAGAGAUGGCAGUUGUGACUUGCCUGGUGUGUCUGCCUCACCUGGUUUGAAGGAUGCGCCUCUUAAUUUUGUAAUUGAGGAAACUGAGGCCAGGAGCAGCUAUGAAUGGCUAGCUGAAGGUCACAUGGCUAGUGAGUUCCCGAACCAGGAUUCAACCUCAGUAAUCCUGUUUCCACAUAUGGAGCUCCUUUUAAUAUGGACACCCUUCACCUGGCCAAAUCCUUCAAGCCCCGUUUCCAUGAAGCUUUCUCUGAAUGCUUUUGCCUUUGAACUCUUGACCCCAUAGAUGAAAAAAUUGAAGUGCAUUAAGGUUCAGUGACUUGCUCAAAGUUGCCCAGUUAGUAACUUUUUUUUUGACCACCCCCCAUGCCAUGUGAUACCUUAGUUCCUUGACCAGGGAUCAAACCCAUGACCUCUGCAUUGGAAGGCAGAAUCUUAACCACUGGACCACUGGUGAAGUCCUA